GCGGAAGUGGCGGAACGGCAUACGCACACGGCUUAGAACCGUGUACCCGAAAGGGUGUGGGGGUUCGAAUCCCCCCUUCCGCACCA
rnacentral:tRNA from 1 species